GAGGGUGUAGCUCAGUGGUAGAGCACAUGCUUAGCAUCAUGCACAAGGUCAUGGGUUCGAUCCCCAGUACCUCUG
rnacentral:tRNA from 1 species